GACGAACGCUGGCGGCGUGCCUAAUACAUGCAAGUCGAGCGGACGAAUCAAAAGCUUGCUUUUGAUUCGUUAGCGGCGGACGGGUGAGUAACACGUGGGCAACCUGCCCUGUAGACGGGGAUAACACCGAGAAAUCGGUGCUAAUACCGGAUAACACGAAAUGUCGCAUGACGUUUCGUUGAAAGACGGCGCAAGCUGUCGCUACAGGAUGGGCCCGCGGCGCAUUAGCUAGUUGGUGAGGUAACGGCUCACCAAGGCGACGAUGCGUAGCCGACCUGAGAGGGUGAUCGGCCACACUGGGACUGAGACACGGCCCAGACUCCUACGGGAGGCAGCAGUAGGGAAUCUUCCGCAAAGGACGAAAGUCUGACGGAGCAACGCCGCGUGAGCGAAGAAGGCCUUCGGGUCGUAAAGCUCUGUUGUUAGGGAAGAACAAGUAACGCAGUAACUGGCGUUACCGUGACGGUACCUAACGAGAAAGCCACGGCUAACUACGUG
rnacentral:rRNA from 1 species